rnacentral:rRNA from 1 species
UACGCAGGGGACUAGCGUUGUUCGGAUUUACUGGGCGUAAAGCGCGCGUAGGCGGAUCGCUAAGUCAGGGGUGAAAUCCCAGGGCUCAACCCUGGAACUGCCUUUGAUACUGACGAUCUGGAGAUCGGGAGAGGUUGGUGGAAUUCCGAGUGUAGAGGUGAAAUUCGUAGAUAUUCGGAGGAACACCAGAAGCGAAGGCGGCCAACUGGCCCGAUACUGACGCUGAGGCGCGAAAGCGUGGGGAGCAAACAGG